CCUACGGGUGGCUGCAGUGGGGAAUAUUGCGCAAUGGGCGAAAGCCUGACGCAGCGACGCCGCGUGGGUGAUGAAGGCCUUCGGGUUGUAAAGCCCUGUCGGGUGGAACGAACGCUCUGGCGGCGAAUAACCGCCGGGUGUGACGGUACCACCGAAGGAAGCCCCGGCUAACUACGUGCCAGCAGCCGCGGUAAGACGUAGGGGGCGAGCGUUGGUCAGAUUUACUGGGCCUAAAGCGCGCGUCGGCGGCGAAAUCCCGCGGCUUAACCGAGGUCACGCAGCCGAUACUGUAUGGCUCGAGUCGAGGAGAGGAAAGCGGAAUUCCCAGUGUAGCGGUGAAAUGCGUAGAUAUUGGGAGGAACACCGGUGGCGAAGGCGGCUGUCCGGACUAGUACUGACGCUGAGGCGCGAAAGCUAGGGGAGCGAACGGGAUUAGAUACCCCAGUAGUC
rnacentral:rRNA from 1 species